rnacentral:lncRNA from 1 species
GCUCUCUGUACUUGCAACCGAAAUUGAGUCGGUUUCUUCUUCACAGUCUGAUUCUGUCUCUGAGUCGUGGUCUGUUUGGGCAAACAGAACCUCUGUAGCAGCAACAGUACUGGGCUUCUCCUCGACGAACUGUUCUGGUCGAACGGGAAGGUCAGACUGCGAAUCCAGCAGAUCCAGUAGCUUCCUCGCCUUCGCCUCCUUCCUUAACUUCUUCGCGGUCUUCUCAAUUUCACUAUCGUAGAGGAGGUUCGGCUUGGACGAUCUGCUCAUAAACAAAGAAAAUAAAAAAAGAAAAAUAGACAAAGGGAAAAGAAUUAAUUAACACCGCUCCCCGGCAACGGCGCCAAUUUGGUGGACGUCGUAUACCACCAAAUAAUUCCUGCAGAAUUAUCAAAAUAUAUUAGUAUCGUG